rnacentral:rRNA from 1 species
GCCUCAGUAACGGCGAGUGAAGCGGCAACAGCUCAAAUUUGAAAUCUGGCCCUCGGGUCCGAGUUGUAAUUUGUAGAGGAUGUUUUGGGUACCGCCGCGGUUUAAAUUUCUUGGAACAGAAUGUCAAAGAGGGUGAGAAUCCCGUCUGGAACUGCGGUAGGGCCUAUGUAAAACUCCUUCGACGAGUCGAGUUGUUUGGGAAUGCAGCUCAAAAUGGGUGGUAAAUUUCAUCUAAAGCUAAAUAUUGGCCAGAGACCGAUAGCGCACAAGUAGAGUGAUCGAAAGAUGAAAAGCACUUUGAAAAGAGAGUUAAACAGUAUGUGAAAUUGUUGAAAGGGAAGCGCUUGCAACCAGACUUGUGUGUGGCGGUUCCCCCUUGCUUCUGCUUGGGCUACUCCGUCAUAUCCAGGCCAACAUCGGUUCUAGGGGUCGGUUAAAGGCCCUGGGAAUGUAUCUACCUCUGGGUAGACUUAUAGCCCAGGGUGUCAUGCGGCCUCCCGGGACCGAGGAACGCGCCUCGGCGAGGAUGUUGGCGUAAUGGUUGUCAGCGACCCGUCUUGAAACACGGACCAAGGAGUCUAACAUCUAUGCGAGUGUUUGGGUGUCAAACCCGUACGCGAAAUGAAAGUGAACGGAGGUAGGAAGCCUUUAGGCUGCACUAUCGACCGAUCCUGAUAUUUAUGGAUGGAUUUGAGUAAGAGCAUAGCUGUUGGGACCCGAAAGAUGGUGAACUAUGCCUGAAUAGGGUGAAGCCAGAGGAAACUCUGGUGGAGGCUCGCAGCGGUUCUGACGUGCAAAUCGAUCGUCAAAUUUGGGUAUAGGGUAAGUUCUUAUUUUCAUUCUUUGUUGUUUUGUUGUACCCAGGUCGUUUCCCAGAAGGGCCCUCGGAGCAACAACGAGCAACAGACAAACCAGCACAGUGGUAUACAUGUUCCUACAGCAUCACCACUGUGCUUGCUGUAACGAUAGAUGUUAUUUUUUGAUCUGUUGUUUCGACUGUGUACCUUUCGAUCCCUCCUUCUGAGUGCCACCUUUCGGAAUUUCUUGCUAUUACCUAUUUGUAAACAAAUGCUAACGGUAUUCUUAACAGGGCGAAAGACUAAUCGAACCAUCUGGUAGCUGGUUCCUGCCGAAGUUUCCCUCAGGAUAGCAGUAACGUUUUCAGUUUUAUGAGGUAAAGCGAAUGAUUAGAGGCCUUGGGGUUGAAACAACCUUAACCUAUUCUCAAACUUUAAAUAUGUAAGAAGCCCUUGUUACUUAAUUGAACGUGGGCAUUUGAAUGUAUCGUUACUAGUGGGCCAUUUUUGGUAAGCAGAACUGGCGAUGCGGGAUGAACCGAACGAGAGGUUAAGGUGCCGGAGUGCACGCUCAUCAGACACCACAAAAGGUGUCAAUGCAUCUAGACAGCCGGACGGUGGCCAUGGAAGUCGGAAUCCGCUUAGGAGUGUGUAACAACUCACCGGCCGAAUGCAUUGGCCCUGAAAAUGGAUGGCGCUUAAGCGUGUCACCUAUACCUCUCCGUAGCCGUUUACUGGAAGCGGCUACGAGUAGGCAGGCGUGGAGGUGCGUGACGAA